GAAAGGUUAGUGUAUGACUUUUUAACCAUAAACUUAUUUUAAAUUUGAUGUAAUAAUUUUCUAUAUAUAUUUUUUUUACUUAUUCUUUCAUUGCUGUAUAUCAGGUUUGUCUAAGAAAUUAGAUAAACUGGCAAAAGAAAAAAAAAAAAAUGACUGUGAAUUGCUAAGGCCGUGGCUGCGUAGCAUCAGAAAUCAUGUUUACUGGUGCGCCACUUCCUCGACAUCAGGACCAGAGAAGGUGGCUAAGUGGACUUCACUGGUCAACCACCUCCAGAAUGUGCACACACAUGACAAUCCUAUCUUUCCCAAGUGCCAACAUCCACUCAUAGCUUCAAAUAAUCAAAAGAAAUGGUUUCAACAAGGAUCGCUGGCUGUCCACAAAGUCUAACAAAUACUUUACAUCAAAAGGGUGCUCAAAGAUGUGGAGAAGCUCAGUCACAGUUUCCAGGCAUCUUCCCUGGAGGCUUUCCACAGCUUAAUUCUACGUUUUGCAUCGAAAAAUGUAGUGUUCCCUUCCAUCGGAAUGUUGUGCAGACUGUAUCUUGCUGUGCUUCAUCAUAAUGAAAACGCCAACAGAGAACAAGCCACAACCAAGGCAGGACAGGCAGUGUACCGAAUGGUGUUCCCGAAAUCAAAAAAAGGGCGGCCAUUAAAAAAAGAGUCAACAUAUACUUAUGUUGAUGAGCUACUGAAGCUCGUAUUUGAAGAAGUGGUCAUGGACCCCUCUACAUUUGUGGAAGAACUGAAAUCAAUCCCCAUUUCAAAGCCACUUUGUGCAGAGUUUGUCAGACCAUCAAAGGUGGAAGCAAUUGCCAGCCAUGUUUCAAGAUUCAGUCAAGCGGAGGUCGAAAGCCGGUGUACUCUCCAGUCGGAUCUGUGACAUCUGUCUAAAUGCGUCUCUAACAUGUGGCUACAUUUGUCACUGCACAUUACAGACCAUGUCUAAAUAUACGUGUGAUGCUACAAGCAGAGCAGAUUGUUACUUACCUCCAUACAGUAUAAUAAUAUGUAUUGAUCAUAUGAAUGUUUUUGAUGUUACACAGUGAAUAGAAAAAAACCUGUCAACAUGAUCAUGUCAUAAUUCAUGCCUAAACAAAAGAAUCAAAAAUAAGAAAUUACAUGCUGCUUAAUUAAUAUUAUAAAAUAAAUAUUUAUGAAACCUAUUUUUAACCCAGAACAGCCCAA